UACGUAGGGGGCAAGCGUUGUCCGGAAUUAUUGGGCGUAAAGAGCGCGUAGGCGGUCCGAUAAGUCGGCUGUGAAAGUCAGGGGCUCAACCCUUGGAAGCCGGCCGAUACUGUCGGACUAGAGUCCGGAAGAGGCAAGUGGAAUUCCCGGUGUAGCGGUGAAAUGCGCAGAUAUCGGGAGGAACACCAAUGGCGAAGGCGGCUCUCUGGGACGGUACUGACGCUGAGACGCGAAAGCGUGGGGAGCGAACAGG
rnacentral:rRNA from 1 species